UUCCGCUUCCUCCACGGCGUCCCGGAGGAAGUCCUCAGUGCGCAGGUCCCCUGGCCGCUGCCAGAACGCUCCGAGUCGCCCAGCACUGCCCCGUGCCCGGUGACAGUUAAGCCUGGCCUAAACAUAAACCAGAGGACAGAACAAGUGGCCGCUGAUGGUGGGUAUUAAUGAACGUGUUGUAGUUUUGAAGGAUGCCUAUGAUCAGGAAUACAAGUGACAGGCAAUACUGCUGUGGAUGUGCAGAAAGGGAACCACUUCUAUACUGCUGGUGGGGUAUAAACUAGGACAACCACUGUGAAAUAAUCUGGGUGCUUCCCAAAAAACUAUAAAUAGAACUACCAAAAUGUAAUCCAACAAUACCACUCAUGGGGAAAUAAAGAACUUUAAUUUUACUUCAGAGA